rnacentral:rRNA from 1 species
UGGGGACUCACGGGAGACUGCCGGGGUCAACUCGGAGGAAGGUGGGGACGACGUCAAGUCAUCAUGCCCCUUAUGUCUUGGGCUGCACACGUGCUACAAUGGCCGGUACAAUGAGUGGCGAUGCCGUGAGGUGGAGCGAAUCUCAAAAAGCCGGUCUCAGUUCGGAUUGGGGUCUGCAACUCGACCCCAUGAAGUCGGAGUCGCUAGUAAUCGCAGAUCAGCAUUGCUGCGGUGAAUACGUUCCCGGGCCUUGUACACACCGCCCGUCACGUCACGAAAGUCGGUAACACCCGAAGCCGGUGGCCCAACCCCUUGUGGGAGGGAGCCGUCGAAGGUGGGACUGGCGAUUGGGACGAAGUCGUAACAAGGUAGCCGUACCGGAAGGUGCGGCUGGAUCACCUCCUUUCUAA